AUCUACAGCCAUACCACUCUAAAUGCGUCCGAUCUCGUCUGAUCUCAGAAGCUAAGCAGGGUCAGGCCUGGUUAGCCCUUGGAUAGGAGAAUAGUGACCUUCGACGUGACAGAUU
rnacentral:rRNA from 1 species